AGUGAACGCUGGCGGUAGGCCUAACACAUGCAAGUCGAACGGCAGCACAGUAAGAGCUUGCUCUUACGGGUGGCGAGUGGCGGACGGGUGAGGAAUACAUCGGAAUCUACUUUUUCGUGGGGGAUAACGUAGGGAAACUUACGCUAAUACCGCAUACGACCUACGGGUGAAAGCAGGGGAACUUCGGACCUUGCGCGAAUGAAUGAGCCGAUGUCGGAUUAGCUAGUUGGCGGGGUAAAGGCCCACCAAGGCGACGAUCCGUAGCUGGUCUGAGAGGAUGAUCAGCCACACUGGAACUGAGACACGGUCCAGACUCCUACGGGAGGCAGCAGUGGGGAAUAUUGGACAAUGGGCGAAAGCCUGAUCCAGCCAUACCGCGUGGGUGAAGAAGGCCUUCGGGUUGUAAAGCCCUUUUGUUGGGAAAGAAAAGCAGCAGGUUAAUACCCCGCUGUUCUGACGGUACCCAAAGAAUAAGCACCGGCUAACUUCGUG
rnacentral:rRNA from 1 species